UACGGGGGGGGCAAGCGUUGUUCGGAAUUACUGGGCGUAAAGGGCUCGUAGGCGGCCAACUAAGUCAGACGUGAAAUCCCUCGGCUUAACCGGGGAACUGCGUCUGAUACUGGAUGGCUUGAGAUUGGGAGAGGGAUGCGGAAUUCCAGGUGUAGCGGUGAAAUGCGUAGAUAUCGGGAGGAACACCAGAGGCGAAGGCGGGUUACUGGGCUGAUACUGACGCUGAUGCGCGAAAGCCAGGGGAGCAAACGGG
rnacentral:rRNA from 1 species